rnacentral:rRNA from 1 species
AUUGAACGCUGGCGGCAUGCCUUACACAUGCAAGUCGAACGGCAGCACGGGAGCAAUCCUGGUGGCGAGUGGCGAACGGGUGAGUAAUACAUCGGAACGUGCCCUGUCGUGGGGGAUAACUAGUCGAAAGAUUAGCUAAUACCGCAUACGACCUGAGGGUGAAAGCGGGGGACCGCAAGGCCUCGCGCGAUAGGAGCGGCCGAUGUCUGAUUAGCUAGUUGGUGGGGUAAAGGCCCACCAAGGCGACGAUCAGUAGCUGGUCUGAGAGGACGAUCAGCCACACUGGGACUGAGACACGGCCCAGACUCCUACGGGAGGCAGCAGUGGGGAAUUUUGGACAAUGGGGGCAACCCUGAUCCAGCAAUGCCGCGUGUGUGAAGAAGGCCUUCGGGUUGUAAAGCACUUUUGUCCGGAAAGAAAUCCCUUGCCCUAAUACGGCGGGGGGAUGACGGUACCGGAAGAAUAAGCACCGGUAA